GGAGGUGGGAAGGAGCUGGGGUGGGACGAAUCCCUGGAUGCUGUGAGGGCUGCUGGAAGUUCAGAACCGACUCCUCUGUUUCAGUUAGGGAAACGAAACGAAGCUGAGCUCGGGAGUUUAAGUUUGAAAUUUGAAGCAAGAAGCCGGGCGUGGUGGCUCAAGCCUGUAAUCCCAGCAUUCAGGAGGCUGAGGUGGGAGGAUCGUUUCGAGUUCAAGACCAGCCUGGGUUACAAAGUGAGCUCCAGGCCAGCCUGAACUGCAUAUCGAGACCCCGUCUCAAAAAAAAAGACACACACACACACACACACACACACACACACACACACACACAAAAAAAAAAAAAAAAAAAGAAAGAAAAAUUUGAAGCAAGAUAGGUGCCUGCUUGGCAAGCACGAUUCCAGUACACUCCCUCAAAAAAAAAAAAAAAAAAAAAAAAAGAAGGAAAGCAUGUGUUCUUAGUUCUAGUUUUCUCAGUUUCUAGAAUUCAGAGUGUCAUAAAAUUAAGACCAACACUUCCCAAACUGGCAUUUGAAGUCCUCUGCUUCCCUAGUCUUGUUGCAGGCAGAACACGCUAAUUAUCUUUGAAGUCUUUCCAGUCUCUGCCUUUGCACAUUAUGCUCUUUUGAAAUGUCCUUUUUGCCAUCUGCUUCUGACCCUAAAUUUUUUUUGCUUUACUUCAGAUUUUCAUUUCCGAGUUGAGUAAGGCUAGGCAGAGAAGCUGGAUAAUGGAGUACUAGAAAUUUUAUUUCUCUUCAGUGCUGGGGAUGGAAUCCAGGACUUUGCUAAUACUAGGCCAAAGUUCUACUGGCUACACCUCCUGCCCAGAUUUGGUUCUGGCAAUAGGUAGUAGACACAAUGUGCAGAGAUUAAGUUUCUAAACCUCAAAUUAAAUUCUGUGAAUCACUGUGGGGAUCCUAUCCUGUAGGUCUAAAGAGAUUAGAACAGUCAAAGAUUUUUUUGUUGAGGGGAGCUCAUAAUGGAAAGAGGUCAUACCAGCAAAGGAUGGAUAGAGGUGAAGUUAUAGAAAACUUGGGAAACAGAUCAACCAGUUCCCUAGUUUUGGCUAGAAUCUGCAACAGUACCCAGCACAGGAUUUGAAAGGGUUCAAGACACAGCUUGUGAGUCCCUCCUGAUUUCAUGGCAUGGAACAGCUAGAGACUGUUUUCUUUGCAGUGCUGGGAACUGAACCUAGGACCUCAUGCAUGACAGGCAAGCGUAAUACACUGUUACAUCCCUAGCCCAAAGGCUCACUUAACUUGAACCUUGAGCUCCACAGUUGAGCUUUCUGUACCAUCACACAGGGAAGUAUAGGGAGCAGCUCCAAGGAGGGGGGGGGUGCUCUUCUGUACCAUCACACAGGGAAGUAUAGGGAGCAGCUCCAAGGAGGGGGGGGGUGCUCAACCCAAACAGGACAGACUUUUCUAAUCCCAUCUUUUAUUACAAUGGAGAAACACGAACCUCCAAUAGCUCAAUAGUGUAAAUUAAGGAGAUAUGCAUUAAUAUCCUAUUCCCAAGAAGGAAUACAGUGUUAGGCAAGAUAACCUUAAUUAGGAGUAAUACCAUUUACUCCAACAGAAUACCUAUUAUGUUGCAGAGUUUAGGAAAGUUCACUUUUUUUUUUUUUUUUGAGACAGGGUCUUACUGUAUAGCGAUUGGCUUCAAACUCAGUGAUCCUCCUGUCUCAGCUUCCCAAGGCAUGUGCCACCUCACCUGAUCAGAAAGGUCAAUUUUUAUAGUGCAGCUGCUUUUGUCAUGAGGGCCUUUGGCACUCUUGGGUUUAGGGACUAAAAAUGAGGCUGACAGCUAAGCGUGGUAAUCCCAAUUGCUCGUGAGGCUGAGGCAAAAGGACUGCAGGCUUGAGAUCAGCCUCAGUUACAUGGCAGUGUCAAGGCCAGUAUGGACUACUGAGACUGUUUCAAAAGUGCAGCCAAGGCUGCAGCCUCCUAAGACUUGUGCAUUCAGACCUGCAUCCCCAGUGAUGAAUGUCCUCAGAUGCAGCUAGUAGACCCUAGACUACAAGAAAACGUUGCUAGUGGUAGUGGUACACACCUGCAAUCCUAAGACUUGGAAAGCUGAGGCAGGACCUUGACAUUUGAGGUCACUGUGAACUACAUAGUGAGAGCCUAUUUUGAAAAAAAAAAAAAAAAAAAACAAUAUAUCGCUAGAUCUCAAAAACUCUUUCUCAAAGCCCUGGGCAAGUAAGCCCAGACCCUACCAAACCCUUUUACCCAUUUCCUGCCAGGUAAGAUCAAUACAAAACAAGAACUCUUUCUUCUUUUGGGCUCAGCUACUUUCUCAGGCCCACCCCUUCCCUAGAUGCCACAAGAUACACACAUCAGACCCCCUUAAAUAGUUGUUUAUUGGCAGUGGGAUGGAAAGAGUGAGUGCCGGAGCUAGCGCACACAGAAAACACCACACACCGAGGUCACAGGUCACGAGGGAGGCAAGAGUGAUCAGAAAGCUUGGAGCCCCAUGAGGCCCUUUUCAAGAGUGUUGGUGGUACAGGUGCCUGGAGUGUUGUGGGGGGCAGCCUCAGAACACAUCAGCUUAGUAGGCAUGGUUAGAGAUGAAGAGGGACUCACUGGCUGCAGCCCCAGCCUGACCACUUGGAGUGUACUUUCCUUGACAGGCGAGGCUGUUGGCCUAAGAGGAAGAGGGGCCAGAGUGAGGUUAGAGUCACUUCUUCUCAGCGUCACCCCAACUUCCCCAUUCCCUGUCCACAUUUUGCCUGUCCUUACCAGGGCUCGCUUGAUAUAUUCCUCCUGAGCAGCCUUGAGGUUCUCCUUCUUCCCACCCCAUGCCUUUAGUGCCGAAGCCUGCAAGGCCCGACCGUAGGAGAAGGUCAGGGCCCAUGGCUUCAGGAGGGGA